GCCUUUGUGGCGUAGUGGUAGCGCGUCGCACUUGUACAAUGGUUCGGCUUGUCAUGCGAAGGUCACUAGUUCAAUCCUGGUCGGAGGCA